GGAGUUAGCCGGUGCUUCUUCUGUGAGUGAUGUCCUUCCUGCCGGCUAUUAACCCGCAGGCCUUCUUCCUCACUGAAAGUGCUUUACAACCCGAAGGCCUUCUUCACACACGCGGCAUGUCUGGAUCAGGGUUGCCCCCAUUGUCCAAUAUUCCCCACUGCUGCCUCCCGUAGGAGUCUGGGCCGUGUCUCAGUCCCAGUGUGGCUGAUCAUCCUCUCAGACCAGCUACGGAUCGUCGCCUUGGUGAGCCGUUACCUCACCAACCAGCUAAUCCGACAUAGGCUCAUCCGAUAGCGCGAGGCCCGAAGGUCCCCCGCUUUCCCCCGUAGGGCGUAUGCGGUAUUAGCCUGGGUUUCCCCCAGGUUAUCCCCCACUACCGGGCAGAUUCCUAUGCAUUACUCACCCGUCCGCCGCUCGCCACCAGGGAGCAAGCUCCCCGUGCUGCCGCUCGACUUGCAUGUGUUAGGCCUGCCGCCAGCGUUCAAUCUGAGCCAGAAUCAAACUCUGA
rnacentral:rRNA from 1 species